GAUGGUAUGGCUCAGUGGUAGAGCAUGUGCUUAGCAUGCACAAGGUCCUGGGUUCGAUCCUCACUACCUCCA
rnacentral:tRNA from 1 species